GAUGAACGCUGGCGGCGUGCCUAAUACAUGCAAGUCGAGCGAAUGGAUUAAGAGCUUGCUCUUAUGAAGUUAGCGGCGGACGGGUGAGUAACACGUGGGUAACCUGCCCAUAAGACUGGGAUAACUCCGGGAAACCGGGGCUAAUACCGGAUAACAUUUUGAACCGCAUGGUUCGAAAUUGAAAGGCGGCUUCGGCUGUCACUUAUGGAUGGACCCGCGUCGCAUUAGCUAGUUGGUGAGGUAACGGCUCACCAAGGCAAGGAUGCGUAGCCGACCUGAGAGGGUGAUCGGCCACACUGGGACGGAGAAACGGCCCAGACUCCGACGGGAGGCAGCAGUAGGGAAUCUUCCGCAAUGGACGAAAGUCUGACGGAGCAACGCCGCGUGAGUGAUGAAGGCUUUCGGGUCGUAAAACUCUGUUGUUAGGGAAGAACAAGUGCUAGUUGAAUAAGCUGGCACCUUGACGGUACCUAACCAGAGAGCCACGGCUAACUACGUGCCAGCAGCCGCCGCAG
rnacentral:rRNA from 1 species